UACGAAGGGUGCAAGCGUUGUCCGGAAUUAUUGGGCGUAAAGAGCUUGUAGGCGGUUUGUCGCGUCUGCUGUGAAAUUUCGGGGCUCAACCCCGAACUUGCAGUGGGUACGGGCAGACUAGAGUGUGGUAGGGGAGACUGGAAUUCCUGGUGUAGCGGUGAAAUGCGCAGAUAUCAGGAGGAACACCGAUGGCGAAGGCGGGUCUCUGGGCCGAUACUGACGCUGAGGAGCGAAAGCGUGGGGAGCGAACAGG
rnacentral:rRNA from 1 species